AUGAAUACCAUUGAUGGUUCAUGCCCUACAGGUGAGGCCAUGCCUCAAGAAGUGGAUUCAAGGAGGGAGAAGUUGGGAAGAAUCCUGCAAGCAAGAGCACCCUCCCCACCUCCCCUGUUCUCUCCCUAUGCCUAUCCUUCCACCCCAUCCAUCAGAUGGGUAGAGGGGUCUCCCCAGGAUGAAUGUGGAGGGACGGCAGGGCCAGCAGGAGAGGUCCCUGGGCAGAGCUGGCCCCUGGUUGGAGCCCAGCAUCUCCAAACUGUAGCCCAGAGAAGGAGGCACAUCAGGACCCAGGAAGAACCCCUCAGAGCUGGAGUUGACUUGACCAACUUUCCCCGAGAUGAGAUGGACUCCGGAGAGGAUGGUGAGAUGGGAGGUCAGAGGGGCCUGCAGGGGGCAUCUUUUUUUCAUCAUGGAUAGGCACACAGAACCAGGACCGGAGGCAGUGGAAGGGCCUCGGGUCACUGCCUGUCACUGACCUGAAGGACAGGCCAACUCAGAUCUCCCUGGAAGCUGGCUCUCCUGUUCUGACUGGAGACUGAGACCCCAACUAGGAUGUGAGCAGAGACAUUCUGGCCAGGAACACUGGGGAGCAGACUGUGAGAGGUACUUGUCAUCUCAGCCUUAUCUGGACACAUUUGUGUUCCUUCCCAGCAGGCACCCCAUUCCCAGGCACUGGUUGUUCUCCCCCAGGGCCUGCUAGGAUGACCCCCAAUGCACUAGCCAGGCAUCCACCCAUCCCACCUUCCAGGGACACAGGGGUCGGGUCCCCACACCUCAACAGGUGAAGCCCAUUCUUCACCAGCUGCCAGCACGGAGCCAGCCUCCUUCCCGGGAAACCAUCUGCUCAGCUCAGGUUGCCUGAAAUGGGUACCAGCAUCUGAACAAACAGUCCUGAGUGAGGCGGGGCUGGGGGUGGUGUUGCAAGAGGUAGGGCCCCUGCCCCUAGCCCUGCUCUGGAGGGAAUUCGCACGAGUUCUCACAGCUGCCGCUGUCCCAGUCCUGCCUGAUGACUGCAUAGACUUCCCACUCCUCAGCCCCAUGGCUGCCACUGCCUGCCCACUGGAGCUCUCCCCGGCCCUCCCCAGGCCACCCGUCUUCUUGUCCUGGCACAUGAGUGGCCUCUGCUUCCCUCCAGGAAGAGUCCUCCCAUGGCUCCCAUCCCUGUCACCACACCAGUCAAGCUGGGCUGUCCUUCUCAGUGUCCACCACUGCCCUAAUGCCAAGGGCAGGCUGGCACACAGUGGGUAAUCAGAAAGCAUUGCUGCCUGUGGCCGUGACUGUGGAGUGAGUGCUCCCAGGGAUGUGGCCUGUUUAGUUUGGACCAGCUGUUCUUCCUGCUCCUCAGUCGACGUGAAGGCCUGACCCAGACUUAGAGCUGGGCAGGCUCCUGCCUGGGGGCUGCCCAUGUAAGACCCAU
rnacentral:lncRNA from 1 species